rnacentral:rRNA from 1 species
GACGAACGCUGGCGGCGUGCCUAAUACAUGCAAGUCGAACGCAGUGGGGACGGGUGAGUAACACGUGGGUAACCUCCCAUCAGAGGGGAUAACACUUGGAAAACGGUGCUACACCGAUAAUGAUGGCUGGACCCGCGGUGCAUUAGCUGGUUGGUUAGUUAACGGCUCACCAAGGCCACGAUGCAUAGCCGACGUGAGAGGGGUUGCGGCCACACGGGGACUUGGACACGGCCCAGAGUCCUACGGGUGGCAGCAGUAGGGAAGCUUCGGCAAUGGACGAAAGUCUGACCGAGCAACGCCGCGUGAGUGAAGAAGGUUUUCGGAUCGUAAAACUCUGUUGUUAGAGAAGCGGUAUCUAACCAGAAAGCCACGGCUAACUACGUGCCAGCAGCCGCGGUAAUUC